GACGAACGCUGGCGGCGUGCCUAAUACAUGCAAGUAGAACGCUGAAGAGAGGAGCUUGCUCUUCUUGGAUGAGUUGCGAACGGGUGAGUAACGCGUAUGUAACCUGCCUUUUAUCGGGGUAUAACUAUUGGAAACGAUAUCUAAUACCGCAUAACAAUGUAUGACACAUUUCAUUUAUUUGAAAUUGGCACUUUCUCCACUACAAGAUGGACCUGCGUUGUAUUAGCUAGUAGGUGAGGUAAUGGCUCACCUAGGCGACGAUACAUAGCCGACCUGAGAGGGGGGUCGGCCAAACUGGGAAGGAGACAAGGCCCAGAAUGCUACGGGAGGCAGCAGGAGGGAAACAUCGGAAAUGGGGGCAACACUGAACGAGAAAAGCCGCGGGAGUGAAGAAGGAUUUCGGAUCGUAAAGCUCUGUUGUAAGUCAAGAACGGGUGUGAGAGUGGAAAGUUCACACUGUGACGGUAGCUUACCAGAAAGGGACGGCUAACUACGUG
rnacentral:rRNA from 1 species